AGGAACUUCAGAAGUCAUUGUCUCGGCACUCAACAAAACGGGGACACUCAUUUGGACUCAGACUUUUUCUGAUCACCUGAACCAAUUCGAUGGCUGGAGCGCCUUGUAACGAUUUUUAAAAUUUCAGAAGCUGUACGUUUUAUUGCUUAUUGUUGAUGUUUUCAACAUAAAAUUAGCAUAUGUUAGAAAAUAAACACUGAAAUAUUGUGAAAGUGAAAAAGUAAUCGUUUGACGGAAAGAGGGAAACUUUAUGGACGUCUAGCUGAGCUCCGCUUCUGUUUGAGAUAGUCUCUCUCUUUCUAUGGAAAUUGAUAUAAUUUGACUUGAGCUGGAUUUAUGAGUGGUGGUGACAAGAGAUGAUCCACGAGCAUCGCCACGGUUAGAGCUUUGAUCCACAAGUAUCGCCACUGUCAGAGCCUUGAUCCACGAAUACCACCAUGGUUAGAGGUUUGAUCCACGAGUAUCACCACUGUUAGAGCUUUGAUCCACGAGGACUAUAUCACUCGUUACAGGCUUCACAGAACAGAUUAGAUUCUUGAAGGACUAUAUCAAUCAUCACCAGAUUCACUGAAAUAUAUUUAACUAUUCACUUUCCUGUUCGUUAUCAAAUUAUCAGAGAAUUUUCCCACUUUCUCAGCAUUCAAACGUUAUAUGUAUAAUGUUAUCACAGUAAAUGGUGAUGAUGUGAAAUACGUUUCCUCAGACUUUACUUUCAAUUCUUUUUGUAGUUACUCUUCUAAACAAAGCCAGAUAAAAGAAGCAGAUUGAAGUGAAGUGAUAAAAAAACAGCUUGCAGAAAAUUCACAAACAGUAUUGCUAAUAUUGAGUGGAGAUAAAUUUAAUUGUUUAUAAUGUAUGUGAAGCAGAUUUAUGUAUUAAAAUAGAUGUUUUUAACAUA